rnacentral:rRNA from 1 species
AUACGGAGGAUGCGAGCGUUAUCCGGAUUUAUUGGGUUUAAAGGGUGCGUAGGCUGUGCGUUAAGUCAGGGGUGAAAUGCCGUCGCUCAACGACGGAGCUGCCCUUGAUACUGGCGUGCUGGAGUACGGAUGCCGUUGGAGGAAUGAGUGGUGUAGCGAUGAAAUGCUUAGAUAUCACUCAGAACACCGAUUGCGAAGGCAUCUGACGAAUCCGUCACUGACGCUGAGGCACGAAAGCGUGGGGAUAGAACAGGAUUAGAUACCCUGGUAUUCCACGCCGUAAACGAUGAUGACUAACCGUCGGCGAUAGACAGCCGGUGGCCAAGCGAAAGCGAUAAGUCAUCCACCUGGGGAGUACGUCGGCAACGAUGAAACUCAAAUGAAUUGACGGGG